rnacentral:tRNA from 1 species
AAGAUGUGUUGCUCGAAUAAAAGUUGCUAACUUAUUAUUCAAGUGGUUAAAAUCCAUUUACAUCUUA